CGUUUUCAUUUUACUUUUGAAAGAUGCAGAGGUGCUCUUUCACGUUUCUGAUCACUCAGUACUUCGAGUGCUCCAAACAAGCUGGCUUGGUCCGCUCUCACUACUCUUCUUCUUCUUCCGGUGAGUGUGGUCGUCCGCAGCCACAUGUCAUUUCUGGUUUGUCUGAAGAGAGACAUCAACAUUGUCAUCGUCAUCCUAGUGCUGCUCCUCUUGGUGUUCCUCCUCGAAAAGUAAGAGUGAGGGAAAAGCGACUUGCGCAUGUCAAGGAGCCAAGAAAGCAAUCUAGAACGUGCGAUGGUGACGUCGCAGAACCGUCAAAGUAAUAGCGCUACGAGUAACUGGCUUGCAACAACAUCAACAAGAUUGUCAAUAAGAAACAGAAAGAUCGACUCAUUUUUUUUCUCUGUUCUCACACUCUAUCUUCCACUCUCUCUCUUCUUGGCUUCUUGUACUGGGUUGUGUGGUAUGGAAAUGAGUUUCCAUCAUUUGACUCCUGUUAUCUGUCUCUUUGUCACCAAGUUCUGUGUUUUUUUAUUCUUUUGGGUCUAAAGUUUCUUUUAUGUUGUGUUCGGUGCAACAACUAAGGAGAAUAAUCACAAAAGGAGUGGACAGAUUUUGGCGUUUGGGAA